GGAUUGAAGACUGAAAAAAAACAGUCAUUUCAAAUUGCAAUAAUAUUUCACAGAAUUACUGUUUUUACUGCAUUCUUGAUCAAAUAAAUGCAGCCUUGGUAAGCAGAUGAGGCUUCUUGCAAAAACAUUACAAAACCUUUGAACAAUAGUGUGGAUGUGUAUAUAAAUAGUCACUAAAAACUAAACAUAUGGAACCUACUAUUAAAUGAUUCUUCUAUGGCAUUAGGCUCUAAAUACUUAUUUUUAAUAAUAAUGCUGAGCAGGAUCUCACUAGCCUAAGGAGGAGCACAGACAGAGCCGACAGGCCUCAUCGUGCCUAUCAUCUUAAAAGUAGGAACAGUCUGAGCUUAACCUUGAGUUGAUCUGGAGCUGAUAGAUGGAUGGUGCUGAUUGGAGAUACUUGUCUCUGUUCUUCAUUUCCCAGGGCGACAGGAGUGUUGGUCCUAUACUUCACCCUGGAGUCAUGCAGAUGUUUCAGGUCCGGGCAGGAUAAAGCCAAAGUUUGCCAGAACCAUAGAAGAGGAUCCAAAAUGUCAAUUUUUAACAAGUUUUUUUGGGAUGGCUGGAUCACUAUAAAAGGAGCUGUAGAGAAGAUAAACAGCAAAGACAAAAGGAGUGCUUUCUUUCCGAACUCUUUCCGGGAAGGUAUGCACAUCUGAGAUCAUUUGUUUCCAUCUGUGGAAUAUUUUCCCCCACACCUUGUGUAAGUGUCCUAUUCCCACUUUGCCACCUGAAAAGUUACCUCUUAAAUUAUAAAUCGUCUCAAACAGUCUCCUAACUCUGCAGAACGCUGUCCUGAUAGCUUUAACUGACCAUAUUUCUGAAAUGAAAACUUCUGAGGUUAGUUCAAAGUAGCAUUAGAAUUUUCAAUGUCACUAUGGUUAAAAUAAUGGUAAUUCUGGUAUGCGUAUUUUGACCAAUCAAAUGUCAAAGAUCUCAAUAUGUGCUCACACUUCUCCUAUGUAAUUUUACAGCUGCUAUCCAUGUUUGUUUUCUAUCCAUAAUUCUUGCAUUUGUGUCUAUUUUUAUUGUUCCUCAUGCAUUGUACACUCAAAAAAAAAAAAAAGAAGGUAUGGUUCCACGAAGAACCUCUAAAAUCCACAGAAAUUAAACAUUGAUCAGAAGGUUCUUUAUUGUGGAAAAAUGUUCUUUGGAUUUUUAAAAUAUUCCUCACACUAAGAAAAAAAAUGGUUGUUUGUGUCUGUUUGAGUUCGGUUUCCAUAAUAGUGCUUUCUCCAGUGAAAAAGUUCUCUCAUCUGAAUCAGGAGAGAAAUAUGCACAGAUCAAGCCAAACCAGUCCAAAACAGCUCUAAACAAAUAUGUACAUGAAUUGUGACGUGAGAGAGUUUUUUACCAGAGGAAGUGUUAAUAUGAUUAUGGAUUCAUAAUUUGGUCAGAAACAAUGGUUUAAAGUUCCUGGAUUUAUUUCUUACAAACAUGCAGUUUUUCUCUUCACAAGAUGUGAACUGAUGGACUGGAGUGGUCACAAGUGGAUUACUUGUGAAUUAGUAUGAUGUUUUUAUCAGCUGUUUGGCCUCUCAUUCUGACGGCACCCAUUCACUGCAAAGGAUCUUUUACUGAGACAGUGAUGUACUGUAAUGUUACAUUUCUCCAAAUCUGUUCCAAUGUAGAAACAAACUCAUUUACAUCUUGGAUGACCUUAGGGUGAGUACAUUUUCAGCAAGUUUUCAUUUUUAGCUGUAUAGGAGCAACAUCUGAGAUGAAGUUCAUACUAGAAUGAAACAUAAAUGAGAACCCCAUUAAGUCUCCUGAACUAUAAAAAAAAGCAACCUCUAAGCAAUAACAUUUUGGUCUGGGCAACCCUGAGGCUGCAUUUUCCUCAUGUUCCAUUUACACAGGCUGGUGUUUACCAAAGCAAUUCAGGUUAAGUGCUUUUGUUGAAGGGCACAGCUGCCGUAUUCC
rnacentral:lncRNA from 12 species